rnacentral:rRNA from 1 species
AGCGAACGCUGGCGGCGUGCUUAACACAUGCAAGUCGAACGCGCAGUUUUCUGUAGCAAUACAGGAAAUGGGCGCGUGGCGAACGGGUGCGUAACACGUGGGCAACCUUCCCUUCGGUGGGGGAUACCCCUCGCGAAAGCGAGACUAAUACCGCAUAACAUUCCCCUGGUUACGACUGGGGGAUUCAAAGCAGCAAUGCGCCGGAAGAGGGGCCCGCGGCCGAUUAGCUAGUUGGUGAGGUAACGGCUCACCAAGGCUUUGAUCGGUAAC